rnacentral:lncRNA from 1 species
GCCUAUAAAUAAGACAUUAUUGUGCCUUUGCAUGUACACCUCCAAUUGAGAGAAGAAUGAGAGUCAGGCAGAGAAGAGGAAGAGAAGGAAGAAAGAGGGUGAGUGAGUGGAGAGGAAAGAGAGCAGAGAGAAAUUCUCCAAGAGAGAAAAUUCAGUGAGCCACACAUAUUGUAAACUCUAAAGUUGUAGCCCUAUUAUUUUAUAUAGUGGAAAAGUUACUGCUGCUGCUCUCCGAGGACGUAGGCAUAGCCGAACCU